rnacentral:lncRNA from 13 species
GUUUUAAGAAACUCUCUGUGAAAAUGGACACUACUGCCAGGAUGAUGUCUAAUAUGGUUUGGCUCUGUAUCCUACCCAAAUCUCCUGUCAAAUUGUAAUCCUCCAUGUUGGAGGAGGGGCCAGUUGGGAAGUGACGAGAUCACAGAGGGGUGGUGCACACUUCCCCCUUGCUGUUCUCACGAUAGUGAGUUCUCAUGAGAUCUGGUUGUUUAGAAGGGUGUAGCACUUCCCCCUUCUCUCUCUUCCUUCUUCUCUGGCCGUAUAAGACGUGCCUGCUUCUCCUUCACUUUCUGCCAUGAUUGUAAAAUUCCUGAGGCCUCCCAGUCAUGCUUCUGAUAUUGAACUCCCUGUUUGGUAGCCUGUCUGUGUACAUCUGUGGAAGUGAGCUGCACACCCUGUGUCGGUGUUUCUCAUUUAUCUGGAUAUUUGAGGUUGGGUCCCAGGAAAUGAAGCAGAGAAAACAAACAACAACAACAACAACAACGACAACACCGGUGUCUGGUUUCCUCGUCUCCUACCCUCCCCCACUUCUUGCACGUUCAACUCCGUCCACUGCAUAUCUGCCUCUCUACUCCAGGUACUUUAAUCUUCACGAGCACACAGACUCUAACCUGGGAAUGCUGAAACAUUCACUGAGUGACUUUUCCAGUGAGGAAAAUGAGAGGAAGGGAGUUUGCCCAUUUGCACAGCAGAGCUGCCCUUCGCGUGUUGAUGUGACGAAUCCGUGA